rnacentral:lncRNA from 1 species
GCAGCGGGGUGGCCGCCUCGAGCCCCCACCUGCCGGGGGGGCACCAAGCAGAGAGUGGGCUGCAGCUGGAAAACAGGGCAGGGGGAGAAGGGCCCCGCGACAGAGCAGCUCCACGGGGCUGGAAAAGCAGAUUUGAGAUGCUGCGUGGAGCUACGAGUCUUGAGGUUUUGGGUUUGCUUUGUGUUUUAAUUUUUUUUUUUUUUUUUUUUUUUAUUUUUUUUUUUUUUUCAGCUGCCCGCCUCAGAAGGAGCUGGGCUGCCCGGGGCCAGCGGCCACCCCGGAGCGCCAGCAGGGCCAGCCACGAGGACUCGCUGCUUGGCUUUUGGCACGCUGCGUGGCCAGAUCCUCAGCAAAUCAACCCAAAACCUGCCGCGCCCCCCCCUGCCCCAGCCUCGCCAGGUGAAACUCCUGCACCGAACCCUCCCCAGCUCCUGCCCGCUGGGCUCUGCUCCCCUGGGGACCUCCAGGUCGGAAUUUGGGGGGGAUUUUUUUUUUUUUAAGACACAAUUUGAUGGAGAGCAGACCCCGUCCCCUUUGGCAGCGCCGGCACAGCGCAGCACCUGCAUAGACGCCCCGAGGGGAAGGCAAGGGGCUGGGGGGGGAGGAGGGGAUCCAAAAGGUGCUGGGGGGGAGCGGGGAGAAGGGCUGGGCAGGGCAGCCCCCAGUCCCAGCUCCCCCCUGCCGCAGGCAGUGACCGCGUU